rnacentral:rRNA from 1 species
AUUUAUAGAGUUGUAAAACUCCCAAACCCUAUGUGAACUUACCACUUGUUGCCUCGGCGGGAGCGCUUGCCCUGUAGCGAGUUACUCUGUGACGACCUACCCUGUAACGCCCCGCCGGUGGACCACUAAACUCUUGUUAAUUUUGUAUCUUCUGAGCGUCUUAUUUUAAUAAGUCAAAACUUUCAGCAACGGAUCUCUUGGUUCUGGCAUCGAUGAAGAACGCAGCGAAAUGCGAUAAGUAAUGUGAAUUGCAGAAUUCAGUGAAUCAUCGAAUCUUUGAACGCACAUUGCGCCCAUUAGUAUUCUAGUGGGCAUGCCUGUUCGAGCGUCAUUUCAACCCUUAAGCCUAGCUUAGUGUUGGGAAUCUACGUCUUGCGGUCUUACCCCGUGGCGAGCUACCCUGUAGCGAGCUACCCUGUAACGAUCUUGUAGUUCCUCAAAUUCAGCGGCGGAGUGACAGUAACCUCUGAGCGUAGUAGCUUCUAUCUCGCUUUUGACGGUGCUGUGGCCCUUGCCGUAAACCCCCCAAUUUUUAAAGGUUGACCUCGGAUCAGGUAGGAAUACCCGCUGAACUUAAGCAUAUCA